rnacentral:rRNA from 1 species
AUGCAUCCGCUCGUGGGGGCGCUGCUGGUGAGUGCCGGGGAGCGGUGGUGGUGGCCGUGCUGGGGCCCGGCGGCGCGCCACGCCGCGGCGUGGGCCGGCACGCUGGCGCUGGCCGUGUCGGUGGCGUCGUUCGCGCCGGAGGCCGCGUUCGUGUGGGCGCUGGCCAGCGGCGGGUGCGCGGCCGGGUCGGUGCGCGUGCCGCUCGACGGCGGCGGGGACCACGUCUGCGUGCCGGCGAGGAUGGCCGGCCGGACCUGCGCCGACAUCAUCGUGCCGCCGGUGUUCGCGGCGCUCUCCGUCGGCGCCUCGGCGUGCUUCGUCCGGACGAUCGCCAUCGGCCGCCGCCACGGCUACUAG